rnacentral:misc_RNA from 1 species
AAAUGCGAUACUUGGUGUGAAUUGCAGAAUCCCGUGAACCAUCGAGUUUUUGAACGCAAGUUGCGCCCGAAGCCAUCCGGCUGAGGGCACGCCUGCCUGGGCGUCACGCAUCGCGUCGCUCCCCACCAUACCUCCCCAACGGGUUGGCAUGGUGUUGGGGGCGGAUAAUGGCCUCCCGUGCUUGUGUUUCGGUUGGCCUAAAUAAGAGUUCCCUUCGGCGGACACACGACUAGUGGUGGUUGAAUAGACCCUCGUCUUUUGUUGCGUGUCGUGAGCUGUAAGGGUAGCCCUCAUCAAAGACCCCAUUGUAUCGUCUUCGGAUGAUGCUUCGACCGCGACCCCAGGUCAGGCGGGACUACCCGCUGAGGUUAAGC